ACACGGGGAGGCGGCUGAGGCCCAGCAAGAAUUCAAGCUCCGCGGGGGCAGGCCAGCAGUGCUGGGGGACCCGGCGCACCCUCCGCAGCUGCUGGCCCGGGUGCUAAACCCCUCACUGCCCGGGCCGGCGGUGCCGGCGGGCUGCUCUCAGUGCGGGACCUCGGAGCCUGCGCCCACCCGGAACUAGCCGCGUUCAGCCCUGGUUCCCGCCCCCGCCUCUCCCGCCACACCUCUCCACAAGCAGAGGGAGCUGGCUUCAGCCUCAGCCAGCACAGAGAGGGGCCCCCAUAGCGCAGUGGCGGGCUGAAGGGCUCCUUGAGCAUGGCCAGAGUGGACGCCAAGGCUGAGGAGGCGCCGAGAGCCAGUGAGGGCUGCUAGCAUGUUGUCACCUCUCAAUACAUAAAACUACUGGAGGGUGGUUCCAAGAUGGCCAAAUAGGAACAGCUCCAGUCUACAGCUCCCAGCAUGAGUGAUGCAGAAGACGAAUGAUUUCUGCAUUUCCAACUCAGUAGAGAGCUGACUUUAGAGGGAUCAAGAAUAGCUUGCUGGAUGGAAGGAGGUAAGAAACCUAGAGCACCUUGUGAAACUGACAUUGAGGAAAUGGCAUGGUAAAACAGUAAAAAAAAAUUUCUUGUUACAUGGAGUGAGCUGCUUCAUCAAGCUUCUGUUGAAGGCAAUCCUACUGGAACUUUUAGUCAAAUGGAAUUUUUUAAAAAUCUCAUUUUAAGGUUUCCUGGCACUUGUAACUGAAAGAUCCUAACUGACACAGCAGGAAAGCGGAAGGGUGGCAACUGUUCAGUUAGGGCAUAGUUCUCAAGAUUGUCCUUUAGGAACAUGUAUCUUUGUGGGAUCUCAUCUAUCUCAUACAAGGAUUGCAUUGAUGCAUGUAGUGUUCAGUAGCAUGACUGACCAGAGUGGAAGUUCCUGGAAAUUGUAGCUAUCAUCAUGAUGAUGAUGGUGAUUAUGAUUGUUAAAGACUGGGUUAGGAAAUGAUUUUGUAAAUACAAUGAGAAGAAGAGCUUUAAAAUUUGCCUAAAUUUCCCCACUUAAUAUUAAAAAGGAGGUGUGCUAUUAAAUUUUAGGUUUUUCUCAAACUCUCACAGCUAUUUUUGUGGGUUUUUAGUGUAUUUCGAGCCCCCUUUUCCUUCAUCUCUAUUACUUUAUGAUAAUGUGAAGGCUCAUUGUUAUGUGAACGCACUGUUAUGAAACAAUACUCUCAGACAUAAGCAGCUUUCCUUAAACCAAAUCAAAAAUACUAUUUCUAUUGCCCAUGAUUUUCAGAGGACUUCAGAGGACCCUGAAGCAUGGGGUGCUGUGAAUGCCACUAACUAACUUCAUUAAUCACACUUAUAAUGUAAAGGGAGAAUUUUCUACUUUCUAUAAAUAAUCUAAAAUUUAAAAGUUUGUCAACUAAAACAUUUGUAAAAUUUGUAUUGAUAAAGUCCUACAAAUAAUAUGACUCCUAUCUUGUUUGAAAUAGUUUUGUCUGAAGUUUUGUCAUAAAAUGGAAACUACCUAUACACAUGAAGUUUGCGGGUCCUUGAAAGAAAGGGUUUUUUACUUCUUUUUUCUUUUUGUCCUAGUCCAUUCAGGCUGCCGUAAAAAAAAAAUACCAUAAACUGGGUGGCUCACAAACAAUAGAAAUUUAUUGUUCAUGGUUCUGGCAGCUGGGAAGUCCAAGAUCAAGGCAUCGACAAAUUUGGUGACAGAUGAGGCCUCGCUCCCUCAAAGACAAUAGUCUUAUCACUCUAACCUCAUGUGGCAGAAGGAGUAAAUGAGCUCCCUGGGGCCUCUUUUACAAGGGCACUAGUACUACUCAUGAGGGUGGAGCCCUUAUGACCUGAUUACUUCCCAAAGGCCACACUUUCUAAUACCGUCAUCUUGGGAGUUAGAAUUUCAAUAUAUAAAUUUUGCGGGGGACACAAACAUUCAGUCCAUUACACUUUUAGUGCCAUAAUGGGAUUUGGUUUUUAUUAUCAAUGACCUACAGGAUGUACAUUUUAAUCUUAAAAUAAUCUAGGGCAGAAUAUGUGUUCAUGUAACUCAGUUUGUCACCAUUCUUUUCACCAUCAUCAUCAGGACUUAAUGCCUAAACAUACCCUGAGUAUGUUUAGCAUACAUACCCUUGUGCAACUCACCUGAGAGUGGAAAUGAAACGAUGAAAGCACCCCUGCACUCUUGGCCUAGGUGCACAUUUACUGAUAUUACACAUUGAGCAGAAGAGACUUAGCAAGAAGCUAAUGAAGCUUAAAGUUCAGGUCCCUGUACUUGCAUGUUCCUUCCAGGGACCUGGGAGGGACUCUGGCAAUUUUUACUUGUAAAUUUCUAAUUUUUUUUCCAAAAUAGGGCUUUCCAGAAUUGUAUCUGCCUCAGGCCUUACAAAAACAGGGAAUAUCUUGGCAUCUAUGUUUCUGUUGAGAGGUAGGAGCAAAAGGAAAGCUUUAACUCCCAAUCCUGGUGUCGUUUCCAGGCACAGAGAGUUUAAAAUAUUCCUCUCUUCCUCACCAUGUGCAGAGAACACUGCAUUCAGAAGCAUUACCUGCAGCUCAUGUUAGUGAGAGACAGAGAGCUGCAGUACUGUGCAGCCAUUCCUGGUUCAUUAGCAAAGCAAUGGGUAUGUAGAUGCAGAGAAUAAGGACUUUUGUAAUUUGUCAUUAAUCCUGGGAUAGGAGGAUAAUAAUACAGGACAAGUGCAGCAUGCAGGCAUGAGAACAUUGAGAAGAGAACCCAUGGGAACAGGAAGAAAAUGAGCAUAACUACACCAAAUACAGAUUUCUGUUUUCAACAGACUAGUUAAGUGUUUGUGUCAGUCUUUUGUGAAAAGAAUUGGGACUUACAAUCAGAAACUGCACAUACUUCGAAAACUGCAGCUUUAUGCUAACUACAUCAUGUCUGUAUAGUAAGCUAACCAUAUAAUACAGUAUUCUACUAUACUAAAUAUGAAGUAGAAUGUAUUUGUCAUUUCAUAGCACAAAUCAUUCAUAUAAGACAUUUCCUUAACAUACGUAACAUAUGAUACAAAUUUAUUUAAAAUACACUCAGACUCUUCCAUAUCCACCAUAUCAGUAACAGUCACCUCCUUAGGAGGGGUAACUCAUGUCCUCCAUUUGUGUCAUAUUCUUCCUCACCUUUUUCUUUCUUUUCUUUUUUUUCUUGAGAAUGAAUCUCACUCUGUCACCCAGGCUAGAGUGCCAUGGUGCAAUCACGACUCACUGCAGCCCUGACCUGGGUGCAAGCAAUCUUUCCACCUCAGCCUCCAAAGUAGCUGGGACUACAGGUGUGUGCCACGACAUCUGGCUAAGUUUUCAAAGUUUUUUUGGAGAUGAGGAUCUCCCUAUGUUGCUCAGGCUGGUCUUGAACCCCUGGCUCAAGCAGUCCUCCCACCUCAACCCCCCAAAGUGUUGAAAUUAUAGGAGGGAGCCACUGUGCCCAGCCUUCCAUACCUUUUUAAACAUAUGUUUACUUUUUCAAUUGCAGUUAAGUGUAGAUAUUAUUUUAUCAACUCUUAGGGCCACAUUUUAAAAAGUAAGUAUCUAGUAUUCUACAAUAUAGAUUCUGCAACUUUUAUUUUAAACUCAAAGAUAUAUGAAAGAUCUUUUCAUAAUGUAUAUGUAGAUGCUUCUUAUUAUUAACUACUGUAUAAUAUCCUAUAGUGUGACCAUACCGACAUUAAUUUAUCCAUUCCCUUAUUGGUGGAACUUUUGCUAUUACAUUCAAUGCUGCAAUGAAUAUUUUUAUGCAUUUUUCUGCGUAUUUGUGUUUCUCUAGGAAAGACCACAAAAACAGUAGAAUUUCUGGGUCACUUUACAUGUGAAUAGAAACUGUCAGAUUGUACUCCAAAACUGUUCUUCUGGUUUACAGUAUUCUUACCACAUAUGUGAGUGCCCAGUUCCCCAUCUGCUUAGUAAUAUACAGUGUUAUCAAUCUUUUCAGUUUUCUUUUUUGCUAAUUUGAUGAGCAUA
rnacentral:lncRNA from 1 species